rnacentral:rRNA from 1 species
UAGGGAAUCUUCCGCAAUGGACGCAAGUCUGACGGAGCAACGCCGCGUGAGUGAAGAAGGAUUUCGGUUCGUAAAACUCUGUUGUUAGAGAAGAACAGCGCAUAGAGUAACUGUUAUGCGUGUGACGGUAUCUAACCAGAAAGCCACGGCUAACUACGUGCCAGCAGCCGCGGUAAUACGUAGGUGGCAAGCGUUGUCCGGAUUUAUUGGGCGUAAAGCGAGCGCAGGCGGUCAAUUAAGUCUGAUGUGAAAGCCCCCGGCUCAACCGGGGAGGGUCAUUGGAAACUGGUUGACUUGAGUGCAGAAGAGGAGUGUGGAAUUCCAUGUGUAGCGGUGAAAUGCGUAGAUAUAUGGAGGAACACCAGUGGCGAAGGCGACUCUCUGGUCUGUAACUGACGCUGAGGCUCGAAAGCGUGGGUAGCAAACAGG